rnacentral:rRNA from 1 species
AGCUCCAAUAGCGUAUAUUAAAAUUGUUGCGGUUAAAAAGCUCGUAGUUGGAUUUCAGAUUGGAAUUCCAGGUUGGUCCAUUAGGGCUAUACUUGGAUAAUCCGUCUCGUAAGCCGCUAAGUUGAAUUGAUCGCACUUAAUUGUGUGUCUUUUCGCACGGCAUGUUUACUUUGAAAAAAUUAAAGUGCUUAAAGCAGACUAUUUAUUUGUCUGAAUAUUAGUGCAUGGAAUAAUGGAACAGGACCUGGUUACUAUUUUGUUGAUUUUCAGUAAACACCAGGUAAUGAUUAACAGGGGUUGUACGGGGACAGAAGUAUGGUCGCGCUAGGGGUGAAAUCCAUGGACCGUGGCCAGACUAACUACUGCGAAAGCAUCUGUCAAGUAUGCUUUCA